rnacentral:rRNA from 1 species
CCUACGGGAGGCAGCAGUGAGGAAUAUUGGUCAAUGGGCGCGAGCCUGAACCAGCCAAGUCGCGUGAAGGAUGAAUGCCCUACGGGUCGUAAACUUCUUUUGUCAAGGAAUAAAGUCAGGCACGUGUGCCUUUUUGUAUGUACUUUAUGAAUAAGGAUCGGCUAACUCCGUGCCAGCAGCCGCGGUAAUACGGAGGAUCCGAGGGUUAUCCGGAUUUAUUGGGUUUAAAGGGAGCGUAGAUGGGUUGUUAAGUCAGUUGUGAAAGUUUGGGGCUCAACCGUAAAAUUGCAAUUGAUACUGGCAGUCUUGAGUACAGGUGAGGUAGGCGGAAUGCGUGGUGUAGCGGUGAAAUGCUUAGAUAUCACGAAGAACUCCGAUUGCGAAGGCAGCUUACUAACCCGCCACUGACACUGAUGCUCGAAAGUGUGGGUAUCAAACAGGAUUAGAUACCCCUGUAGUC